UUCCAUUAACUACUUCCGGUGGAUAUGUCCACAUCUGGACCAAUUCGCUUAGGUAGCUAGUUAGCGAUCUAUCUAUCUAGCUACAUACAUCCAUAUACUCACUUGACCAAUCUAGAUAGAUUAGACACAUUAGUGAAUGAUACCGAUACUCUCACGUAUGAUCGAAUGUUAUUUGCUUUCAUUGAUAGGUGCAACAACUGAACAAUCAGAGGCCCAGACGUGUCUAUGUCCCACCUGUACGGACGGCAGGGAGAGGAGGAGGAGGAGGGGGUAGAGGUAGAGAAGUUUGAGGUGACCGAAUGGGACCUGGCCAAUGAAUUUAACACAGAGCGCUGCAGACACAGACAGACCAAAGAAGAGMCCGUCUAUGGCAUCUGGGCAGAGAGGGGAGACUCCGACGAUGAGAGACCCAGCUUCGGAGGGAAGAGGGUGGUAAUUUCCGUGGCAACAGCCAGUCCCAGAGGUCUGGGUUUGCAGCUGGUAUCCGGGCUGGAGGAGACCUGGGCACCUGGGAGAAACACAAAGGGGAUUGGCCAGAAACUCAUCCAGAAGAUGGGCUACACACCAGGGAAAGGACUGGGGAAGAACGUAUGGGGGGGAGUAAUGGAGAUAGAGGAAAG